rnacentral:rRNA from 1 species
UACAGAGGGUGCGAGCGUUGUCCGGAAUCACUGGGCGUAAAGAGCGUGUAGGCGGCCAGGUAGGUCGGUUGUGAAAACUGGAGGCUCAACCUUCAGAGGUCGACCGAAACCAUCUGGCUAGAGUCCGGGAGAGGAGAGUGGAAUUCCUGGUGUAGCGGUGAAAUGCGCAGAUAUCAGGAAGAACACCCGUGGCGAAAGCGGCUCUCUGGAACGGUACUGACGCUGAGACGCGAAAGCGUGGGGAGCAAACAGG